rnacentral:rRNA from 1 species
AUUGAACGCUGGCGGCAGGCCUAACACAUGCAAGUCGAACGAGUGGCGGACGGGUGAGUAAUGUCUGGGAAACUGCCUGAUGGAGGGGGAUAACUACUGGAAACGGUCGCUAAUACCGCAUACCAUCCGAUGUUCCCAGAUGGGAUUAGCUUGUUGGUGGGGUAAAGGCUCACCAAGGCGACGAUCCCUAGCUGGUCUGAGAGGAUGACAAGCCACACUGGAACUGAGACACGGUCCAGACUCCUACGGGAGGCAGCAGUGGGGAAUAUUGCACAAUGGGCGCAAGCAUGAUGCAGCCAUGCCGCGUGUAUGAAGAAGGCCUGCGGGUUGUAAAGUACUUUCAGCGGGGAGGCGUUAACCGCAGAAGAAGAACCGGCUAACUCAGUGCCAGCCGCCGCGGUAAUAC